rnacentral:lncRNA from 1 species
UUACCCCCCAUCCCUAGGGGGUCCUAUGCUGCAGAAACAUGCGCACUUUGGGGACCCAUUGGGCAUAUGGGAAAGUAUUCUUUCAAACCCUCUUCCUUCCUGGGCUAUCUUCUAUGAAAGUAGUUUGGGUGAAGAAGACUUUGGAGGGAAUAGGGGGUGGAACGAUCAUUAGAUAAGUGGUUCUGGGUCCUGGGUUCCAAUAUCAGCUCUUCUACUUGGAGAACCUUGAUUGGAAGGAUCUUCAGGAUGCAAAAGGGAAAAGAUGCUCUCCCUGGUCCUGAGAGGAGGCUCUGAGCUGGCUGUGCUCAACAUGGUGGGAAGGAGAUUGGACUGUGAGAGGGGCUGGCUGCUCAGCAGCUGGCUCUCUGCUGCCCCUGCCCCUUCCCCUCUCAAGCAGGGACCCUCCCUGUGCCUCUUCUGCCACUUUUCCCUUUUCCCCCCCAAGUCCCAGAACUUUUGUGACUGAUCAAGGGGGAAUUCCUUCUUUUUAGCUACUCCAGAAAAAACAAAGUUAUCUAUGCUCUUUUUAUCCCAUUAUUUGGGAUAACAGGAUUUCCUGGGGAAUAGGCUCACACGGGGCUACAGGCUCUGGGUUCUCCACGACAAUAUAAUAGUACUUGCUUACCAUGUUUGGAUACUUCCAGGCCAGAAAUAACCUGAUAUGGUUGCUUGGUAAAUAUGUGGGAGUCCAGGAAAGUCCUAGAUUUUGUAUCAGAAGAUCAGAUUUGCUGCUAAACCAUAUUUGGGGAAUCACUUCCCCUCCCUUCUCCCAUCCCUUCUCUCCAAUGAGGGUGAUAGACCCUUUCUAGCUGUAAAUUUGUGGUCUUUAAUUAUCACUGGCCUACCCACUGCAGCAUUUUCUUGGGAAAUGGCUUCAAAGCAGACUUUUCUGGGCCCCAUGGAGACUUUCCACUCUCCUAGCUUCCUUGCUUUGGUCAUUUACUGGGGGUCGACUCCUACUCCUCCCAGUAUAUGGAGCCCAACUGGUCAGGAGUCGCUGGUCAGUGGCAGGGCUGGGCGAGAGAGGGGAAUGAAAUUCAGGCUCUCUUGCUGAGAUACUUUAUCCUGAAGCUAAUCCUCUGGGCAGUUCCACCAAGCCCUGCAUCCAGGACCUCCCCUUGCCUCAGAGAACGGCCUUGGUUUUCCCAACCUUAAAGGCAUUCCUUUUGGAAAGGGUAGGAGUUUGUCUUCCCUCUGCCUUAGUGCAGUUCCCCUGGGGGCUAUCUCAGGGCAGUGAGUUCCCUGACCCUCAAAGACUUAUAAUGUUCUAGACUGUGAUAGAGCAGGGAUCGCAGCUUUGACUAGAUAAGGUUUAGGUUAAUCCCUUUCAGGUCUCAAAAGUGUGAUUCUGUGGUUUCCCCCAUCCUGGGUACCAGGGCUAAUACUCUGAUGUCCAAAAAAGAAGCGCCAACGUGGGUUUGGGGUUUAGGGAGGGGGCCAUUCUGAAAGGCAGCAUGAGGGCUAAGAGACCAGGUCUUCUCAGGGUGUCUGAGCUGGCAGGGAAGCAGACUAAAGCCUAAGUUUAAAGACCUUGGCCGGGUCUUGGUGAUUACCUAGGUCCAGUAUCCUCAUUAUAAGGACAGGGAAACUGCCCCCAAAGUCACUCCAAUAUUCAGUGAGGUAGAAGACCUGGAAUUGGAACUUGCAAAUAUUAACUCAUUGGGUUUUCCAUCCUUAACAUAUAUAUACACAUACACAUAUCUGUAUAAUGUAUUUCCCAGUGCUGGAAUACAUUUCCAAAAAUUCCAGUGCCAGGAACCCACUGAGCAGUGGGCCUGAUCAUGAAAUGGAGGGAGUUGGAUUAUAUGGGAUUUAAUGUUAAGGACCUUUCCACCUUUAGAUCCUAUGAUCCUACACAAAAUCAAACAUUGAUUAAGCCUCUCUGGGUACUCUGGGUAGGGCUCAGUGCCGAGGGAGAUAAGAAGUUUAGAUAAGGUAGGGUCCCUGACCGCCAAAAGUUAUAGUUGUCAUAAGACCAAGCGAGGGGGAAGUGUCCCCACCGAUGCUCCCCACUAAGGGAGGGGGCAUUGGCUGAAAGGGGCUUCUCAUUUGCAGAGGCAGGUCCUCUCCUGGACACAGUUCAGAGAUCUCUGAGCCCCCUGUCAAGCCCCCCCAGUUGCUGCAGCUUGGGCAGAGUGCCUCAAAAAACAAUGCUAAGGAUGCCAGCCUGGAGGGGCUGACCUGGCAUUCUUGGAUGAGCACAUUCAUGUGCCAGGAAACUGAGCCACGGGCAAGUAGCUUUUCUUCCUCUUGCACGGCUCCCCUCGGACCCCGGACGCUCUUCCACCAUAUGGAAGAACGGCUGUCUCCGGUCCCAGGUCAGGCUUGGGAUGUCUGGGAGCUGGGAAGCCGGCGGAGAAUUGAUCCACCGUUUCCCAGGUUAAGAGCAGUGACAGAGCUCUGGAUUUGGAGCCAGAAAGCCUGGGUUAGGCCCAGCCCUAUGGGAAAGCCCUUUCUCUGUGGAUCUGGGUUUCCUCAUCUCAAAAGAUUCAGGGGGCUUAGUUUUGUGUGUCAUAGACCCCAGUGGCAAUCUGAUGAAGCCUAUGAAUCCCUUCCCGUAAUGGUGUUUUUAUAUGUAUAAAAUAAAAUGCAUAGGCUUACAAAGAAAACCAGUUCUAUUUAAAAAUCAUUAUCAAAGUAUUUAAAAAUAAAACAAGGUCACGGCCCCCUGGUUAAGAACCUCUGGGCUCCCAUGGUCUCUGAAUUGCUUUCCAGUUCUGGGCACUGACAGAAGUACAGGAAGAAGUUAUUCCGAGGGUGUUUGCAGCCUGGACCUUCUGGUGCCUCAUCUUUAGUUGCUUCCCCAUCCUAUGUUCCAGUUCCAGACUUAAGGCCGACCAUGGUGCCCUGGGUCUGGGGCACUUGGGAAAGGGUUGAGGCGGUCAGCAGAGGGUCUGGCAGAAGGGUACAGAAUUGAUGUUUUGAACCUUUGAUACUUCUAUUCUCUUCAUUCUGCCUUCCUAGCUAGAGCAAAGAAGUGGGAGCCUAAGUGUUCUUGGGACCCGGGGGUAGUUGUCAGCCCAAAUCUCCUCACCACCGACCCUCCUAGAAUCAGAAUUUCAGCGAUGGAAGACACCUCAGUCAUCGGAAGUCACUUUAUCCUACUUAUGCCCAACAAAGACUCUCCACUACCAACAUUUGUAAUCGCUCAUCAAAAAUAACGUUACAAUAUUUUAUAUGUUUAUAGAGCACUUUAAGGUUUUCGCCAUGCUUUCCUUACAACAACCCAGUGGGGGGAAGGGGGCUUCAUAAUAAUGCAAAUGUUAUUAUUCUCAUUUUCCUGAGACUCAGAAAUUAAAUGAUUUGCCUCAGGUACCUAAGUGUCACAAUUGGAAUAGUUCUCCAUGUUCUGUAGUCACUUCCUUCUUUCUCUCACUUCAUCAGAGGGACAGUGGAGAGAUUUUCUACAAGGUUUCAAGGUUGGAUCCUUGAAAAUGAGCUUUCUCUCUCUCUCUGUUUGAUCUCUUGUGUCUCUAAAUGUACACGUUAAGGUGGGGACUGGUUGGGUACAGGUGAUGAGUCCCUACUCUUUUAUCCAUCCCAAGAGUGGCAAGAGGGUGCAUUCGGGACCCAGGCUGGAGCUUUUCAUUCUCUGCACCCAUCAAUUCGAGUGGAUAAACAAAAAUUUGUGUGAAAAAGACCUGGAGAAGGGAGCUUAGCAGACUGCAAGCCUAGUACAGGCCGAUAAUGACCAGACAGCAAAAACAACAAAGCUAAUCUAAGGCCCCUUAGCCCAGAAUAUGGAGAAAGUCUUGUCCUCUGCCUUGUUUGGAACACACCUGAAAUCUUGUGUUCAACUCUAAAACCCAGUUUUGGGAAGGACAUUGAAAACUGGAAUAUAGCCAGAGGAAUGUAACCAGGAAGCAGAAGGGACUGGAAACCAUUGCCAUGUGAGGGCCAGUGAAAGAACUAGAAUAUUUAGCACAAAAAAAAACAGGGUCUGAGCAGGAAGGGAUAGAUGCUUUCAAGUAUUUUUAAGGGUUAUCAUGUGAAUGCUUGGCUGCAGAGGACAGCUCUGGGAUCAGUAAUGGGUGGAAGUUGUAAAGAGACAGAUUUCCAGAAGCAAAGACCUCCUGAUGUCACAAAAAGUAGAAUGGGAUGACAGGAAGAUAAUGGACUCUGUUGCUUGAGGGUCUCAAGGAGAGAUUCUACCAUCCUGAUUCUGGGUCUCCAUUCCUCUGCCCUUUCCCCACUCUUCCUCAUCCAUCUGUUUUGGUGCCCAGUGAGCACACACUUAAUGUAACCGUCCCUUGACAAUGUAGCUCAGUGAAUCAUGGACCAGACCCGGAUGGAGAAAUGUGACUGGCCCUCCGGGUCCUAGCCCCCUUACAGAGACCAGUGUCCACGGCAGACUGGGCAGAGUCCCUUGCAAAAAGACCCACAGAUGUGUGACUGAGGCAGAGGAAUGAAGAUGAAUAAAUUCUUUUGUAUGAAAUCCUGGAGCUUGUCACAGCCUAUUUCUUCCUCGAGACUUCUGGGACUGCUCACCUGCUUUUGUUCUUGAGCAGAAGCAAGCAUGUGGUGAUGGAGGGAGGUAGUAAAAGGUUCUUCUGUUUUCUCUUUGGAAUGGCCUGUGGGUGGGGUGAGGGGAAGGAAGUGGAGAACUGGUGAAGGAGUAACUCCUCCUUCAUAAUCAGCACCAGGACGGGCAAGGUGCGUGUAAACGGACCGACCACAUGUGGC